rnacentral:rRNA from 1 species
GAUGAACGCCGGCGGCGUGCCUAAUACAUGCACGUCGAGCGAAGAGGGGACGGGUGAGUAACACUUGGCUAACCUCCUAUAUGACUGGGAUAACUUCGGGAAACCUGAGCUAAACCGGGUACUUAUAGAUGGAUCCGCGCUGCAUUAGCUCGUUGGUAAGGUACCGGCUUAUCAAGGCAACUAUGCAUAGCCGACCUGAGAGGGUGGUCGGCCACACUGGCACUGAGACACGGUCCAGAUUCCUACGGUAGGCAGCGGUAGGGAAUCUACCGCAAUGGGCGAAAGCCUGACGGAGCAAUGCCGCGUGAGUUAUGAAGGGCUUCGGAUCGUAAAGCACAGUCAUUAGGGAAGCGGUACUGAAUCAGAAAGCCACGGCUAACUACGUGCCAGCAGCCGCGGUAAUAC